UUGAUCCUGGCUCAGGACGAACGCUGGCGGCGUGCCUAAUACAUGCAAGUCGAACGCUUCUUUCCUCCCGAGUGCUUGCACUCAAUUGGAAAGAGGAGUGGCGGACGGGUGAGUAACACGUGGGUAACCUACCCAUCAGAGGGGGAUAACACUUGGAAACAGGUGCUAAUACCGCAUAACAGUUUAUGCCGCAUGGCAUAAGAGUGAAAGGCGCUUUCGGGUGUCGCUGAUGGAUGGACCCGCGGUGCAUUAGCUAGUUGGUGAGGUAACGGCUCACCAAGGCCACGAUGCAUAGCCGAC
rnacentral:rRNA from 1 species